rnacentral:lncRNA from 1 species
AGCAUGUCUACAAGAAUAUGCGUGAAAGUGAUUUACAUGUCAACCGUACUAAUGAUGGGCCCUGACGUGUGUCUCCUUGGUGAUUUUCAACCCAGCCAUGUGAACAACGAAGUUUAACCACCAUACAGAGGAACACAGAGAAGAGUCACUACUUAUGCAAGAGGACGAACCAGAAAACUUGAUGGCUUCAAAAGAAAAUGAAGAAGACGUUUAUCCCCUUGGAAGGUGGAGUGGGCUGUGUGCGUAUCCACCCAUCGGCUGUUAUUCUGACCUGGUGAAAGUGAGCGGCCAUUACCAACCAGAAGACAGAAAGCAGAUCUGGUGAAGUCUAGCAGGACAAGCCAUUGUUGACUGGGAGAAGAGACACACAAACUGCCACAACAGGCUUGUGAAGAAAAUCUGUUAUAUUAAAGUCCAGCCAUAAAACAGACAAUAAAUGAAACUGCAACCACAUCACGGAGGAGCUAGUAGCUGUGGAUGCUGACAGGCUCACACAUUGACUGUGCCACAUGUACAGGGUGCAGGAGUUCUGGGUACCUACCACCUUGCUUCAGGAAAACCCUGUUUUCAACAGCUCAAAGACAAAAAUGGACUUAAGUAACUAUAGCAAACAAUCCAUUGCAACAGAUUUUCCCAAGUUUUAUUUGGAUGAAACAGAAUAUAAUUCUCACUUGAUUCAAUUUUUACUUUAAAACUUUUAAGGAUCUAAUUCCAACUUACAUGUUAAACACCGGAAGCACAUUAAGACAGGCCAGCAAUAAUUUUUAAAUGUCAAUUCAGCUUAGUAGAAAAAAGCAAUUGAUGUGCUUCGGGGAUGAGUCGAACUUGUUUUUACUUGCUGCAUUAGAGCUUGCAAUUCUGUUUAAUUGGCAUGUAAUUUAAUUGCCACGUAAGUUAUUUAAUUAUGCACUAUAAAUGGGAAGUGUUGUUUGCAGGCAUCAUAUCUCUUUGUUGAAAUUUGGAAUGCCAGCUCUUUCUCUGGUCUCCUGUUUAUCUCUGAUCCAUUUCUCUAGGUCAUCUGUGUUCUGUUAUGUGACAUAUUAACUGAUUUUGUCAUUGUUUCUAGCAGACGUGUGUGUAUACAUUUGUAUUUUCCAUUUUAGCCACUAAUUAUGCAAGCCCAGACAUUAAUCUUAUCCAGUAAUAAGAAUAGAGGCACCAAGGCCUGUGUCAUUUCUUCGUUGAGUUAUAAUUGUGUCAUUUCUUUGUUGAGUUUUAAUUGUGUCAUUUCUUCGUUGAGUUAUAAUAUCUCCUGUUUCAGGUCAGCAGACUGUACAUUCUUUCCAAAUUCUAGUUUGUUCCUAUGGAAGAUUUAACAUAAAUGUGACCACCACUGAUGGUUAUAUUUUUAAAGUAUCAAAGUAGUAGGGCCAGAAGAGGGUGGUGUAGAGUGUCACCUUCCUAACUGGGCCUCAUUGGGGAAAGACUCAUAUGGGUUACAUAUGGAAUAAUUAGUACUCAUCCGAUUAUGAAGGAGAACACACUGGCUGAGUCUUGUGAUUCCACACAAUCCUGGCACAUAAAGUAAUUUUAAAAAAAUCUUUAGCUUUCUCCUAUAAGUAUCCCAUAAAUAAAGGUUCGAUGAGUGGAUGGAUACCAAUGAUCUAUUGUCAUGCCUGACUCCACUGCUCUGUUGGGUUUAGGUAGAGAUUUGUCUGGAAAAUUUUGUUUGGUAUAAGGAAGAAAAUAGUACCUGCCACAAAUCAAGCAGUUUGGUAAAUCAGGA